rnacentral:rRNA from 1 species
GUUGAACGCUGGCGGCAGGCUUAACACAUGCAAGUCGAGCGAGCGGCGAACGGGUGAGUAAUGUAUGGGGGCUGCCCGAUCGAGGGGGAUUACUACUGGAAACGUUAGCUAAUAACCAAUUCUGUCGGAUAGCCCAUGUGGGAUUAGCUAGUUGGUGAGGUAAUGGCUAACCUAGGCGCCGAGCCCUAGCUGGUCUGAGAGGGUGAUCAGCCACACUGGGACUGAGACACGGCCCAGACUCCUACGGAGGCAGCAGGGGGGAAUAUUGCACAAUGGGCGCAAGCCUGAUGCAGCCAGGCCGCGUGUAUGAAGAAGGCCCUAGGGUUGUAAAGUACUUUCAGUCGGGAGGCGUUACCGACAGAAGAAGCACCGGCUAACUCCGUGCCAGCAGCCGCGGUAAUUC